GAUGAACGCUGGCGGCGUGCCUAAUACAUGCAAGUCGAGCGAACAGACGAGGAGCUUGCUCCUCUGACGUUAGCGGAGGACGGGUGAGUAACACGUGGAUAACCUACCUAUAAGACUGGGAUAACUUCGGGAAACCGGAGCUAAUACCGGAUAAUAUAUUGAACCGCAUGGUUGAAUAGUGAAAGACGGUUUUGCUGUCACUUAUAGAUGGAUCCGCGCCGCAUUAGCUAGUUGGUAAGGUAACGGCUUACCAAGGCAACGAUGCGUAGCCGACCUGAGAGGGUGAUCGGCCCCACUGGAACGGAGACACGGUCCAGACUCCUACGGGAGGCAGCAGUAGGGAAUCUUCCGCAAUGGGCGAAAGCUUGACGGAGCAACGCCGCGUGAGUGAUGAAGGUCUUCGGAUCGUAAAACUCUGUUAUUAGGGAAGAACAAAUGUGUAAGUAACUAUGCACGUCUUGACGGUACCUAAUCAGAAAGCCACGGCUAACUACGUG
rnacentral:rRNA from 1 species